CCUACGGGAGGCAGCAGUGAGGAAUAUUGGUCAAUGGCCGGAAGGCUGAACCAGCCAUGCCGCGUGAAGGUCAGUGCCCUAUGGGCGUUAAACUUCUUUUGUGCGGGAGCAAUAAUGGUCACGUGUGGCCAGACGAGAGUACCGUACGAAUAAGCAUCGGCUAACUCCGUGCCAGCAGCCGCGGUAAUACGGGGGAUGCAAGCGUUAUCCGGAUUUAUUGGGUUGAAAGGGCGCGUAGGCUGUGAGGGAAGUCAGCGGUGCAAUGCCCCCGCUCAACGGGGUGAAGUGCCAUUGAUACUGCAUUGCUGGAAUGCGGAUGCGGUGGGAGGAAUGUGUGGUGUAGCGGUGAAAUGCAUAGAUAUCAGACGGAACACCGAUUGCGAAGGCAUCUCGCGAGUCCGCGAUUGACGCUGAUGCACGAAAGCGUGGGUAUCAAACAGGAUUAGAUACCCUUGUAGUC
rnacentral:rRNA from 1 species